rnacentral:rRNA from 1 species
GACGAACGCUGGCGGCGUGCUUAACACAUGCAAGUCGAACGGUGAAGCCCUUCGGGGUGGAUCAGUGGCGAACGGGUGAGUAACACGUGAGCAAUCUGCCCUUGACUCUGGGAUAACUUCGGGAAACCGGAGCUAAUACCGGAUAUGACUUACGGCCGCAUGGUCUGUGGGUGGAAAGAUUUAUCGGUCAGGGAUGAGCUCGCGGCCUAUCAGCUUGUUGGUGGGGUAANGGCCCACCAAGGCGACGACGGGUAGCCGGCCUGAGAGGGCGACCGGCCACACUGGGACUGAGACACGGCCCAGACUCCUACGGGAGGCAGCAGUGGGGAAUAUUGCGCAAUGGGCGAAAGCCUGACGCAGCGACGCCGCGUGAGGGAUGAAGGCCUCGGUCGUAAACCUCUUCUAGCAGGGAAGAAGACGAAGUAGACGGUACCUGCAGAAGAAGCACCGGCUAACUACGUGCCAGCCGCCGCCGUAACU